rnacentral:rRNA from 1 species
CCCUUAGAUGUUCUGGGCCGCACGCGCGCUACACUGACGGAGCCAACGAGUAUUUUCCUUGUCCGGAAGGACUGGGUAAUCUUGUGAAACUUUGUCGUGCUGGGGAUAGAGCAUUGUAAUUAUUGCUCUUCAACGAGGAAUUCCUAGUAAGCGUGAGUCAUCAGCUCGCGUUGAUUACGUCCCUGCCCUUUGUACACACCGCCCGUCGCUACUACCGAUUGAAUGGCUUAGUGAACCUUUGGGAUUGGCAGCCAACACCGGCAACGGUAGCUGGCCGCCGAAAACUUAUGCAAACUUGGUCAUUUAGAGGAAGUAAAAGUCGUAACA